rnacentral:rRNA from 1 species
GACGAACGCUGGCGGCGUGCCUAAUACAUGCAAGUUGAGCGCUGAAGGUUGGUACUUGUACCAACUGGAUGAGCAGCGAACGGGUGAGUAACGCGCGGGGAAUCUGCCUUUGAGCGGGGGACAACAUUUGGAAACGAAUGCUAAUACCGCAUAAAAACUUUAAACACAAGUUUUAAGUUUGAAAGAUGCAAUUGCAUCACUCAAAGAUGAUCCCGCGUUGUAUUAGCUAGUUGGUGAGGUAAAGGCUCACCAAGGCGAUGAUACAUAGCCGACCUGAGAGGGUGAUCGGCAACAUUGGGACUGAGACACGGCCCAAACUCCUACGGGAGGCAGCAGUAGGGAAUCUUCGGCAAUGGACGAAAGUCUGACCGAGCAACGCCGCGUGAGUGAAGAAGGUUGUCGGAUCGUAAAACUCUGUUGGUAGAGAAGAACGUUAGUGAGAGUGGAAAGCUCAUCAAGUGACGGUAACUACCCAGAAAGGGACGGCUAACUACGUG